UUCCAGACUCCUACGGGAGGCAGCAGUGAGGAAUAUUGGUCAAUGGCCGCAGGGCUGAACCAGCCAAGUCGCGUGAGGGAUGACGGUCCUAUGGAUUGUAAACCUCUUUUGUCAGGGAGCAAAGGGCGCCACGUGUGGCGUUUUGCGAGUACCUGAAGAAAAAGCAUCGGCUAACUCCGUGCCAGCAGCCGCGGUAAUACGGAGGAUGCGAGCGUUAUCCGGAUUUAUUGGGUUUAAAGGGUGCGCAGGCGGCGAUUUAAGUCCGGGUUAAAUUUUCGGGCCCAACCCCCGACAAGCCGUUGAAACUGGCUUGCUAGAGUGGGCGAGAAGUAUGCGGAAUGCGUGGUGUAGCGGUGAAAUGCAUAGAUAUCACGCAGAACUCCGAUUGCGAAGGCAGCAUACCGGCGCCCAACUGACGCUCAGGCACGAAAGCGUGGGUAUCGAACAGGAUUAGAUACCCCCGUA
rnacentral:rRNA from 1 species